rnacentral:rRNA from 1 species
CAGCCGCCACGGGAAUACGAAGGGUGCAAGCGUUACUCGGAAUUACUGGGCGUAAAGCGUGCGUAGGUGGUGGUUUAAGUCCGUUGUGAAAGCCCUGGGCUCAACCUGGGAAUUGCAGUGGAUACUGGGUCACUAGAGUGUGGUAGAGGAUAGUGGAAUUUCCGGUGUAGCAGUGAAAUGCGUAGAGAUCGGAAGGAACAUCUGUGGCGAAGGCGACUAUCUGGGCCAUUACUGACACUGAGGCACGAAAGCGUGGGGAGCAAACAGGAUUAGAUACCCGUGUAGUCCCUGUCUCUUAUAC